rnacentral:rRNA from 1 species
GACGAACGCUGGCUGCGUGCUUACCACAUGCAAGUCGAACGAAGUGGCGAACGGGUGAGUAACGCGUACUCCACCUGCCCUUCAGAGGGGGACAACAGUUGGAAACGACUGCUAAUACCGCAUACUGAAGGAGGGGAUUGCGUCUGAUUAGCUAGUUGGAGGGGUAACGGCCCACCAAGGCGAUGAUCAGUAGCAGGUCGGAGAGGAUGAGCGGCGACAUUGGGAGUGAGACACGGCCGAGACUCCUACGGGAGGCAGCAGUGGUGAAUCUUCCGCAAUGGACGAAAGUCUGACGGAGCAACGCCGCGUGAGUGAUGACGGCUUUCGGGUUGUAAAGCUCUGUUAAUCGGGACGCGGUACCGGAAUAGAAAGCCACGGCUAACUACGUACCAGCAGCCGCGGUAAUAC